rnacentral:rRNA from 1 species
AUGGCGACCGCCGGGAAGGUGAUCAAGUGCAAAGCGGCGGUGGCAUGGGAGGCCGGGAAGCCGCUGUCGAUCGAGGAGGUGGAGGUGGCGCCGCCGCAGGCCAUGGAGGUGCGAGUCAAGAUCCUCUACACCGCCCUCUGCCACACUGACGUCUACUUCUGGGAAGCCAAGGGGCAAACUCCGGUUUUUCCAAGGAUCUUGGGCCAUGAGGCUGGAGGCAUUGUUGAGAGCGUCGGAGAGGGCGUGACCGAGCUUGUGCCAGGUGACCAUGUCCUGCCGGUGUUCACUGGCGAGUGCAAGGAUUGUGCUCACUGCAAGUCAGAGGAGAGCAACCUUUGUGACCUCCUCAGGAUCAAUGUCGACCGAGGCGUGAUGAUCGGUGAUGGGCAGUCCCGCUUCACCAUCAGCGGGAAACCGAUAUUCCACUUCGUCGGGACCUCUACCUUCAGUGAGUACACAGUGAUCCAUGUUGGGUGCCUAGCGAAGAUCAACCCCUCGGCACCCCUCGACAAAGUUUGUGUUCUCAGCUGUGGUAUCUCAACUGGUCUUGGUGCGACGCUCAAUGUCGCAAAACCGAAAAAGGGUUCGACGGUGGCAAUUUUCGGUCUUGGAGCUGUAGGCCUUGCUGCCAUGGAAGGGGCCAAGAUGGCUGGGGCAUCAAGGAUCAUCGGUGUGGACUUGAACCCUGCAAAAUACGAACAAGCCAAGAAGUUUGGCUGCACCGACUUUGUAAACCCAAUGGACCACACCAAGCCAUUGCAAGAGGGGUGGGGCGUGGCGGUGCUGGUGGGUGUCCCCCAUAAGGAGGCGGUGUUCAAGACCCACCCGAUGAACUUCCUCAAUGAGAGGACCUUGAAGGGCACCUUCUUCGGCAACUACAAGCCGCGUACCGACCUCCCGGAAGUCGUUGAGAUGUACAUGAGGAAGGAGCUGGACGUGGAGAAGUUCAUCACCCACAGCGUGCCCUUCUCGCAGAUCAACACGGCCUUCGACCUCAUGCUCAAGGGAGAGGGACUUCGCUGCGUCAUGAGGAUGGACGAGUAG